rnacentral:siRNA from 1 species
GUAGAGAGUAUCUCAUAGUUU